GGAACUAAUUAUAUUUCAUAAACUGAGAAAAAAAUAUAGGAACUGCAGAGCACUAGGAUUUGAACUAUAAAGAGACUAAGAAUUAAAACUCUAAGACCCUGUUUGGAUACUCCUGAAAAUGAAGCAUAGUUAAACUAUGCUACAGCGGUACAAAAAAUAUCCUACGAAUCGUUUGGGAGAAAAAAAAGCUAACGUAAUUUUUGGAGUAUAGUUAAACUAUACUCCAAAAAAUAGAAUAAAAACAUAAUCCACUCUAACCAAAGAAAAAUAAUUCCACAAUUCUUGAGCUCUCUUAUUCAAAAAAUUCAUCAAGUUCUAACUUUUAAAUUUCAAUAUAAAAUUUUUAAUUUUAACGUAGAUUUUAAAUUUCAAUAUAGAUUUUAAAUUUCAAAUUUUAAAUUUUAAAUUUCAAAUCUCAUAGUUCAAAUUUCAAAUUUUAAACUUUAAAUUUUAAAUUAAAAUUUAAAUUCUAAACUUCUAAAUUUCAAAUUUAAAAUUUUAAAUUUUAUAUUUUUUAUUUUAAAUAAAAUUUCAAAUAUAAAUUUCAAACUUUAAAUUUUAAAAUUUAACUUUUAAAAUUUAAAAUUUAAAUUUCAAAUUUGAAAUUUCAAAUCUCAAAUCUCAUAGUUCAAACUUCAAAUUUUAAAUUUAUUUAUUAAACUUUAAAUUUUAAAUUUAUUUUUUAAAUUUAAAAUUCUAAAUUCUAAAUUCUAAAUUUCAAAUUUCAAAAUUUAAAAUUUAAAAUUUUUAUUUUAAAAUUUAAAAUUUAAAAAUUUAAAAAUUAAAUUUAGAUUUUUAUAUUUUUAAUUUUUAAUUUUUAAAUUUCAAAUUUGAAAAUUUUAAAUUUAAAAUUAAAAUUUUCACAUAUCAAAUUUUAAAUUUUAAAUUUUUUUGAAAUUUUAAAUUUUAAAUUUUAACUUUUAAUUUUAAAAUUUAGAAAAAUUCCAUGAAAUUGCACAAUGCGUAUCCAAACAGUGAAUCCGUAGAAUUUUUUUAGAGUUGCAGGAUUUUCUAUUUUAUCUAGACCAAAACCACAGUUUAUAAAUUCCGUGGAGAUUUUUUACUAUACAUCCAAACAUGCUCUAAAGCUAAAAAGUUACUCCUAGAAAACUAGUAGAUGCAAGAAAUGGAAAGAAGAUUAAAGGGCAGCAAUCUUGUUUCCAGAAAAGACCCUUAUUGCAGAUACCCUUUCGCUAUUUAUACCACUUUUGCCAACUUGAUUUUACCAGAUUAUUUGUGUAGUGGGAAAUAUUCUAGCUAUGUUUUUAUUGAUUAUCGGUAGUGUACCACACGUUCUCAACUGUCCCGUUUAAAGUUCAUUCAUUUUCCGGUAUUUCUUUUUAGGCUUCUGGUGCACCAUGUGUUAUUUUUUUUAUUUGUGCAUGUCAGCCAGUCAUGUGAGUUGAGUUAUCUACUAAUUAACGCUAUUUUUCUUGCACCAUCGGUGAUCAAUACUGUUUUCAGUAUAAUUUAUGGCACUUGAACUUUACAUAUAUUAAAUUUUAUAAUUUU
rnacentral:lncRNA from 1 species